CGAGGGGCAGCAUGGUCUUAGCUUGCUAAGACUGAUGGCGACCGGCGCACGGGUGAGUAACACGUAUCCAACCUGCCGUCUACUCUUGGACAGCCUUCUGAAAGGAAGAUUAAUACAAGAUGGCAUCAUGAGUCCACAUGUUCACAUGAUUAAAGGUAUUCCGGUAGACGAUGGGGAUGCGUUCCAUUAGAUAGUAGGCGGGGUAACGGCCCACCUAGUCUUCGAUGGAUAGGGGUUCUGAGAGGAAGGUCCCCCACAUUGGAACUGAGACACGGUCCAAACUCCUACGGGAGGCAGCAGUGAGGAAUAUUGGUCAAUGGGCGAGAGCCUGAACCAGCCAAGUAGCGUGAAGGAUGACUGCCCUAUGGGUUGUAACUUCUUUUAUAAAGGAAUAAAGUCGGGUAUGCAUACCCGUUUGCAUGUACUUUAUGAAUAAGGAUCGGCUAACUCCGUGCCAGCAGCCGCGGUAAUACGGAGGAUCCGAGCGUUAUCCGGAUUUAUUGGGUUUAAAGGGAGCGUAGAUGGAUGUUUAAGUCAGUUGUGAAAGUUUGCGGCUCAACCGUAAAAUUGCAGUUGAUACUGGAUAUCUUGAGUGCAGUUGAGGCAGGCGGAAUUCGUGGUGUAGCGGUGAAAUGCUUAGAUAUCACGAAGAACUCCGAUUGCGAAGGCAGCCUGCUAAGCUG
rnacentral:rRNA from 1 species